rnacentral:rRNA from 1 species
GCCAGCCCGCUCAGAACUCAAAGGAAUUGACGGGGCCCGCACAAGCGGUGGAGUAUGUGGUUAAUUCGAUGCAACGCGAAGAACCUUACCUGGUCUUGACAUCCCGGAGACCCUUAGGAAACUAGGGGGUGCUUCCAUCUGGAAGAAUCUGGAGACAGGUGCUGCAUGGCUGUCGUCAGCUCGUGUCGUGAGAUGUUGGGUUAAGUCCCGCAACGAGCGCAACCCUUGCCUUUAGUUGCCAGCAGUUCGGCUGGGCACUCUAAAGGGACUGCCGGUGUUAAACCGGAGGAAGGUGGGGAUGACGUCAAGUCCUCAUGGCCUUUAUGACCAGGGCUACACACGUACUACAAUGGCCGAUACAAAGGGCAGCGACACUGCGAGGUGAAGCCAAUCCCGUAAAAUCGGUCUCAGUCCGGAUUGGAGUCUGCAACUCGACUCCAUGAAGUUGGAAUCGCUAGUAAUCGUGGAUCAGCAUGCCACGGUGAAUACGUUCCCGGGCCUU